GCGCCUUUAGCUCAGCUGGAUAGAGCAACGGCCUUCUAAGCCGUGGGUCGGGGGUUCGAGUCCCUUAAGGCGCGCCA
rnacentral:tRNA from 1 species